ACCACGUGACAUAAACAUUGGUCAUAUAAAUAAGGUAGACAGAUUCUGUGACCUGAUAUCAAAACUAUCACAGAGAAAUCUGCUGUGUGAUGUGCUCUAGAUUGGAUGUUGGUUGGAUCAAUUAUCAUUCAGGUAAUUUCUCUGAUGAUGAGCCGUGUCGUAAAAGAAAGACAACAUUUAUAAUCGGUGGUUACUUGGGGACAAAUGUUGACUACCGUAAAGGAUAAUUGCAGUGCAAACACAAUGAAACUAGUGGAAACAAUUGUGAUCAAUAUAUUCUGUCAGCCGAUAGGAAUACAUUACAGCACAACUCCAAUUUGUUUUUGAAUUGUCAAUUUUGUAAUGGAUUUUACUUUAAGUGCGAAAUCAAGAUCCAAUUAUUUUGUCGAUAUUGCAUAUUGAAUAGAGUAAUUCAUUGAAAUUUAUACAAAGAGAAUCAGAUUAAACUACGACAAAACGAGAAAAUUAAUUUUCAUGUAAACAUUUUGUCAAUUCAUCAUAAAGUGGAACGAAAUAUGAAAACGUUAGUUCUCAUAUGGAUUGAUUAUCAGUGCAGCGAAGGAAGGAUUUAAAUGUUGUAAAAUAGAAUUGGCAUAGUAGUUGGUGAACUGUUAUAUUUUUAUAUAGAAAUAGUUUUUAACUAAACAAUAACGUGGACAGUUAAAACUUAACAAACACGCAGACUGAAACAUUUGAUUUAAUUUGAAAAUAUUUAAUUUUUCUAGAGGGCAGGCGAGUUAAAUACGCAGUUGAACUUCAUAAAGGCUAAUACAGCCUGUGUGAACAGAUAAAUACAAACGCAUCAAAGAAAAUAUGUCGAAUAAAGCGAAAGGUAGCAAAGACUCGAGUGAUGAACAGAGUGCUUUUCAGUGGAAAGCUGAAUUCAUGGCUGGUCCUGGGGGAUUCUUGGAAAAAGAGAUAAUAUAUAGUGAUGACAUCUUUCAGACUCCGGAAGACGCGAAAGAUGACGCUCUGGUUAAAGCUGAGAAUGAAGUGUGUGACUAUCCAUACUCACGUGGAAAGAUUCUGAAAUUGGAAGUUGUAGAUAAAAAUGGAGCUAGUGUAAUUGUAUUAAAGAAUGCUCUCAAAGAUGUUCCCCGGCGUUGAAAGAUGUGUAGUGUGUGCUUUAUAAAUAGAAAGAAAUUGCGUUUUUACAUUGUUAAUAUGGAUAUCACCGUAUUAAGUGCUUUAAUAACAAAAAUAAAGUCGAUACACGUACAGGGUCAAUGAUACGAUCAAGACAAAGAUUCAUCAUGAAGCGGAUACAGUGUUUUUCCGUAUUUUUAAUUUCUAUAUAUGUCUGAAUUCAAAACUGCAUAGUAAAAAAAGACAUCUUUGAAGAUUGUACAAGGAUCAUAAUAAAAUCGAAAGUAUUUUGUUCUUAUAUGUAAAUACGGACUUUAAAUGCAGUCCUUAACGAAUUCGCAUCUAAUAUUUCCUAGUUGUUUAUUUUUUGUUAUAUACCUUGCUUAAGUCUUAUAUUUGUAUAGGUUGCGUACAAUUAUAUGUCAUGUUAAAAACAUUCUAAAUAAGAAAAAGUUUAGAGCUCCAUAGGUUGUAUAUACAGACAUACUUUGCCUGAGACAGAAUCGUUGCAUUUAAAUAAAAACGAUCGAUCGUGCGAAAAAAAAUAUCAGGCGGUUUAUAUUUAUUGCUUUUAUUUGUAUUUAACCACCUUUUUAAAAUGAAUAUAACUUUAUUUGAUAUU